GACGAACGCUGGCGGCGUGCUUAACACAUGCAAGUCGAACGGAAAGGCCCUGCUUUUGUGGGGUGCUCGAGUGGCGAACGGGUGAGUAACACGUGAGUAACCUGCCCUUGACUUUGGGAUAACUUCAGGAAACUGGGGCUAAUACCGGAUAGGAGCUCCUGCCGCAUGGUGGGGGUUGGAAAGUUUCGGCGGUUGGGGAUGGACUCGCGGCUUAUCAGCUUGUUGGUGGGGUAGUGGCUUACCAAGGCUUUGACGGGUAGCCGGCCUGAGAGGGUGACCGGCCACAUUGGGACUGAGAUACGGCCCAGACUCCUACGGGAGGCAGCAGUGGGGAAUAUUGCACAAUGGGCGGAAGCCUGAUGCAGCAACGCCGCGUGCGGGAUGACGGCCUUCGGGUUGUAAACCGCUUCCGCCUGUGACGAAGCGUGAGUGACGGUAAUGGGUAAAGAAGCACCGGCUAACUACGUG
rnacentral:rRNA from 1 species